CAGCCGCCGCGGUAACACGAAGGGUGCAAGCGUUACUCGGAAUUACUGGGCGUAAAGCGUGCGUAGGUGGUGGUUUAAGUCCGUUGUGAAAGCCCUGGGCUCAACCUGGGAAUUGCAGUGGAUACUGGGUCACUAGAGUGUGGUAGAGGAUAGUGGAAUUUCCGGUGUAGCAGUGAAAUGCGUAGAGAUCGGAAGGAACAUCUGUGGCGAAGGCGACUAUCUGGGCCAACACUGACACUGAGGCACGAAAGCGUGGGGAGCAAACAGGAUUAGAUACCCUCGUAGUCCCUGUCUCUUAUAA
rnacentral:rRNA from 1 species